rnacentral:rRNA from 1 species
AACGAACGCUGGCGGCAUGCCUAACACAUGCAAGUCGAACGAGACCUUCGGGUCUAGUGGCGCACGGGUGCGUAACGCGGGGGAACCUGCCCUUAGGUUCGGAAUAACUCCCCGAAAGGGGUGCUAAUACCGGAUAAUGUCUUCGGACCAAAGAUUUAUCGCCUUUGGAUGGGGCCGCGUUGGCUUAGUGAGUUGGUAGGGUAAAAGCCUACCAAGGCGACGUUCCAGAGCUGGUCUGAGAGGAUGCCCCGCCACGCUGGGGCUGAGACACGGCCCAGACUCCUACGGAAGGCAGCGGUGGGGAAUAUUGGGGGCGGGGCGAAAGCCUGACCCAGCCGUGCCGCGUGAGUGAUGAAGGCCUUAGGGUUGUACAGCUCUUUUACCCGGGAUGAUAAUGACGGUACCGGGAGAAUAAGCACCGGCUAACUCCGUG